UGGGGAAUCUUCGGCAAUGGACGAAAGUCUGACCGAGCAACGCCGCGUGAGUGAAGAAGGUUUUCGGAUCGUAAAACUCUGUUGUUAGAGAAGAACAAGGACGUUAGUAACUGAACGUCCCCUGACGGUAUCUAACCAGAAAGCCACGGCUAACUACGUGCCAGCAGCCGCGGUAAUACGUAGGUGGCAAGCGUUGUCCGGAUUUAUUGGGCGUAAAGCGAGCGCAGGCGGUUUCUUAAGUCUGAUGUGAAAGCCCCCGGCUCAACCGGGGAGGGUCAUUGGAAACUGGGAGACUUGAGUGCAGAAGAGGAGAGUGGAAUUCCAUGUGUAGCGGUGAAAUGCGUAGAUAUAUGGAGGAACACCAGUGGCGAAGGCGGCUCUCUGGUCUGUAACUGACGCUGAGGCUCGAAAGCGUGGGGAGCAAACAGG
rnacentral:rRNA from 3 species